UCCGGUUGAUCCCGCCGGACCUGACUGCUAUUGGAUUGAUACUAAGCCAUGCUAGUCUUUGUAGUAAUACAAGGCAUACGGCUCAGUAACGCGUAGUCAACCUACCCUAUGGACGGGGAUAAUCUCGGGAAACUGAGCAUAAUACCCGGCAGACCACUUAUCCUGGAAUGGUUAGUGGUUAAAAUGAUUCGUCGCCAUAGGAUGGGACUGCGGCCUAUCAGCUUGUUGGUGAGGUAAUGGCCCACCAAGGCGAUUACAGGUACGGGCUCUGAGAGGAGAGGCCCGGAGAUGGGUACUGAGACAAGGACCCAGGCCCUAUGGGGCGCAGCAGGCGAGAAAACUUUGCAAUGUGCGAAAGCACGACAAGGUUAAUCCGAGUGAUUUCUGCUAAAGGAAUCUUUUGUUAGUUCUAAAAAUACUAGUGAAUAAGGGGUGGGCAAGUUCUGGUGUCAGCCGCCGCGGUAAAACCAGCACCUCAAGUGGUCAGGAGGAUUAUUGGGCCUAAAGCAUCCGUAGCCUGUUCUAUAAGUUUGCGGUUAAAUCUAUACGCUCAACGUAUAGGCUGCCGUAAAUACUGUAGAACUAGGGAGUGGGAGAGGUAGACGGUACUCGAUAGGAAGGGGUAAAAUCCUUUGAUCUAUUGAUGACCACCUGUGGCGAAGGCGGUCUACCAGAACACGUUCGACGGUGAGGGAUGAAAGCUGGGGGAGCAAACCGGAUUAGAUACCCGGGUAGUCCCAGCUGUAAACGAUGCAGACUCGAUGAUGCAAUGGCAUAGAGCUAUUGCAGUAUCGCAGGGAAGCCGUUAAGUUUGCCGCCUGGGAAGUACGUACGCAAGUAUGAAACUUAAAGGAAUUGGCGGGGGAGCACCACAAGGGGUGAAGCCUGCGGUUCAAUUGGAGUCAACGCCGGA
rnacentral:rRNA from 1 species